GCAGUGAUGGUUCCGUGAUAGAAUUCUCACCUUCCAUGCCAGAGACCUGGGUUCAAUUCCUAGCCAAUGCA
rnacentral:tRNA from 1 species